UACGGAGGGUGCAAGCGUUAUCCGGAUUCACUGGGUUUAAAGGGUGCGUAGGUGGGUCUGUAAGUCCGUGGUGAAAUCUCCGAGCUUAACUUGGAAACUGCCAUGGAUACUAUAGAUCUUGAAUACUGUGGAGGUUAGCGGAAUAUGUCAUGUAGCGGUGAAAUGCUUAGAUAUGACAUAGAACACCAAUUGCGAAGGCAGCUGGCUACACAAAUAUUGACACUGAGGCACGAAAGCGUGGGGAUCAAACAGG
rnacentral:rRNA from 1 species